GACGAACCGAGCGAACGUUGUUCGGACUCAUUGGGCUUAAAGGGCGCGUAGGCGGGCCAUCAAGUCAGGGGUGAAAGCCCCCAGCUCAACUGGGGAAGGGCCUUUGAUACUGAUGGUCUCGAGGGGGAUAGGGGCGUGCGGAACUUCCGGUGGAGCGGUGAAAUGCGUAGAUAUCGGAAGGAACACCGAUGGCGAAAGCAGCGCGCUGGAUCCCUUCUGACGCUGAGGCGCGAAAGCCAGGGGAGCAAACGGG
rnacentral:rRNA from 1 species